rnacentral:lncRNA from 1 species
CUGGGCUUAGAACAGUUGAAACAGACACCAUCUGGGAAAAAAUGGUAUGGCCAUCCAGAUGUUUACUAGCUGAAUGUUCGUAAUAGUUUAUGUAAAUGUUGCAGUUGUGCAAACCAGUGAUUACAUUUGUGGUUUCAGGAUGCAAUCUGUGGGACCUUUGAAUUUGAGGCAGAACAGUGGUUCUCAAAAUUGUGAUGUAGAACCAGCAGCUUCAGCAGUUCUUGGGAUCUGUUGGAAAGACAAGUUCUCAGGCUCCACCCACUCUGUUGUGUGGCCCAUCCACUGAAUCAGAAAUUCUCGGUACAGGGCCAGCAGUCUGUGUUUUAACUGGCUUUUCAGGUGAUUCUGAUGUAUGUUCCAAUUUGAGAACCACUGCUAUAGAUGCUAAUUCUUUGGUUACCUGCUUCAGUAUAGACCAGUUCUCACAGAUAGAACAUCCUCCUGUAUCAGAAAAAGAGGAAUGAAAGAAAGGGAGACCAACAAAUAAAUAAAAGAAGAAAGGAAAGGCCCAGAAGAUUAAGUAGAGGAAACUUGACCUUUACGGCCUGGUACAGUGCUGCAGCAACUGCCUUAGAUAGCUUCUCACUGGCAGGGAAGCCACACCCACCUUAGUCUACAGUUCACCUGUUUAGAAGGCAUAUCUGCACUUAGGAGAGGAACUGUCUUGUCCAAUAAAUUUUCAGUCAUUCUUCUACAGCUGUGUGGAUAUAUAAGAUGUCCCAGGAGUUCAGUCUUCCUGCGUAUAGAUGUGCACAGAUAUGAUGGACAUCUUUCACACACAGUCAAAUACAACCAAGAGGAGAAUUACGAGGCAGAUAAUGAUUUUGUGUUCUUUUGUGGAGGGAUGCUUCAACUGAAAGUGAACCACCAUUCCCUGUGCCGCCAUGUUGGAAAUUCCCGUGCUAUCUUUAAAUCUUUGUUCACCCUGUCAUCCAUCAUCAGCCAGUUACCAGGUCAGUUGAUUCUACCUCUAAUUAAUGUCCCUCACAGUUCUCCCUUCUUUCUGGUUCCACUGUCAUCAUCCUAAUUCAUGCUUUCUUUGGUGCCUCAUGUAAAUACUAUUAUUGUACUUGUAUGAUCUCUGUUUCAAUGAGACUGCCCCUCUGUCUGGCAAGAGGAGUGUGGGUUUGAAGAAAUACAGGGCUCUGGCAAAAUGUUCAGGGUAGAGAUUGAAUUUUGAGGUCAGAGGUCAAAGCAGGAGUUGCACCUAGAGCUCCUGAAAGAUUAGAGAGCAAGAUUACAAAUGGGAAGCUUGUCACCAGGUUUUGAGAAAAGCCCUCAUUUGAAAAUGCAAUGAAAAGAAUUGAAUGGCAAAUAUAAAGGAAAUAAAGGACUACAAACAUCUGAAGAUCAAAGUCAAGAUCUGAAAGUCAAGAAUUAUUAGAUGGAUUAAAGAAAACCAGGCUGGGAUUAUUUGUACGUGAGAGGAAAAUAGGAAGACGUAGAAGACUCUUUCUAUGUAACUGUCUCCAGAGAGUCGGAAUUUUAAACUGAUCCUGGUUGUUCAGCAGAGGGUAGCAUCAGGACGACUACUACUGAGUUAAAUAAGUUGGGUCAGGCUGCUGGAAACUGAGGCUUUGCUGAGUUAGCCAGAGCAGUGUAUUUUGAAAUAUUUUGAGAUUUUAUCGAUUGGUUCUUAUGUCUAUUCUAUAUCACCAGGCCUUUUCUAAAGAACCAAAUACUGCAGUUUUGGUGCUACGAUUAUCUAGUCCUUUUCUUUAGGCACUUUAUUUCCUAACGAUGAGUUAUUCAGGUGGCGGGGAGAGGGCAGUAUUUUUGUGAGCUGGCAAAGCUUUCCUCAGCCUAGUUCCCUGCUCAUGAAGUGACUGGCUCUGAUAAAAUAAAGGCACAACUUCUCAGCCUGGCGGUAUUAUCUGGAAUUAGCAAGGUCCCAGGAUCAGAGUCCAGCUUCCAAACCUAUAUUUUCUCCACAUUGUUUUCUUCCCUGGAGUGACUGUUGUUGUGUUGAGAAGGCCAUUAAGUUUCGAGCUAAACAGCUCCAAUACCAUUCAAAGCACCACACUUUUCAGCCUUUAUUUCUUUGAUCACACUAUUCCCUUUCCUUUAAUAAUGUUCCUCCUCAAGAAUAUAAAGCCUCGGGAGUUCCUGUCAUGGCUCAGAGGUUAACGAACCCGACUAGCAUCCAUGAUGGACGUGGGUUCGAUCCCCGGCUUCUCUCAGUGAGUUAAGGAUCCGGCAUUACCUUGAGCUGUGGUAUAGGUUGCAGACACUGUGGAGUAGGCCUGUGGCUAAAGCUCCAAUUGGACCCCUAGCCUGGGCUCAAGAAUAUAAAGCCUCGGGAGUUCCUGUCAUGGCUCAGAGGUUAACGAACCCGACUAGCAUCCAUGAUGGACGUGGGUUCGAUCCCCGGCUUCUCUCAGUGAGUUAAGGAUCCGGCAUUACCUUGAGCUGUGGUAUAGGUUGCAGACACUGUGGAGUAGGCCUGUGGCUAAAGCUCCAAUUGGACCCCUAGCCUGGGAACCUCUAUAUGCAGGGGCUGUGGCCCUAAAAAGACAAAAAAAAAAAAGAAAAGAAUAUUAAGUGUUAACAGAGUUUGAACUAUUUGUGAGCAUGAAAUAUACAUUCACAUAAAAGUAUAUUUUAUUGGAACCUUCCUAACAGCACAGUCUAGUACAGUAGUGUUGUGAUGGUAGAAUACUUGAUGUUCCUCCUUCUUUUAGAAAUAGAUUCAUCAAACUCUAGAUGGACAUUUGGUUGCCAAGCACAAAUAUUACAUUUCCUAGCCUCUCUAGUCAGUAGAUAUGACUGUAGGACUAAGUUUGGCCAAAUGGAUACAAGUGAAAGUAGCAUGUAAAACUUCUGGGUGGUGUUCUCAAAGGGAAUGAACAAGCCAAAAAAAAAAAAAAAAAAAAAAAAAGAAUAUUAAGUGUUAACAGAGUUUGAACUAUUUGUGAGCAUGAAAUAUACAUUCACAUAAAAGUAUAUUUUAUUGGAACCUUCCUAACAGCACAGUCUAGUACAGUAGUGUUGUGAUGGUAGAAUACUUGAUGUUCCUCCUUCUUUUAGAAAUAGAUUCAUCAAACUCUAGAUGGACAUUUGGUUGCCAAGCACAAAUAUUACAUUUCCUAGCCUCUCUAGUCAGUAGAUAUGACUGUAGGACUAAGUUUGGCCAAAUGGAUACAAGUGAAAGUAGCAUGUAAAACUUCUGGGUGGUGUUCUCAAAGGGAAUGAACAAGCUCUCCAUUUCUUUUUUUAAAUGUCCAAUUGUCUGGAAUGCCAGUAAGAUAAUUUGAUGGCAGGAGCUGAAGCAGCUGCCUUGUCAUAAUAUGGAAGCUGUGUAUGGCGGGACUGGACUGUUUAUGCUUGAAUUGAUAUAAAUUCAAGGGCCUUUGAUAUAAAAUGUUAUCUGUAUGCUUUCUCUCCAUAAAUCCUCACUGAAAGAAUGAAAGAAUGAAUAAGAAGUACUGUCACUGGAAUUCACACCCCCCCCACACACCAACUCUACCUUGGCUUAAAAGACUUGACAUUGUAUACCUGUCCCAAGUAGCUUCAUCAGAGGCCCCAACCUGGAGGCCCUUGGACUUGGUUGGUCACACAAACACAUGUGGUUUGGCCCAUAUAUUGUUUUAAAAUUAAAAUAAUUACCAACAUUUAUCCACAGCAGAUUACACAUAAAUAUUCUUAUAUCUG